rnacentral:rRNA from 1 species
ACGAACGCUGGCGGCGUGCCUAAUACAUGCAAGUCGAACGGUCUUUCUAUGGAAGCUUGCUUCCACUGAGAAGAUAGUGGCGAACGGGUGAGUAACACGUGGGUAACCUGCCCAUAAGAGGGGGGAUAACAUCCGGAAACGGGUGCUAAUACCGCAUAGUUUUCUUGAUCGCAUGAUUGAGAAAGGAAAGACGGCCUUUGUGCUGUCGCUUAUGGAUGGACCCGCGGCGUAUUAGUUAGUUGGUGAGGUAACGGCUCACCAAGACGAUGAUACGUAGCCGACCUGAGAGGGUGAUCGGCCACAUUGGGACUGAGACACGGCCCAAACUCCUACGGGAGGCAGCAGUAGGGAAUCUUCCGCAAUGGACGAAAGUCUGACGGAGCAACGCCGCGUGAGUGAAGAAAAGGUUUUCGGAUCGUAAAACUCUGUUGUCAGAGAAGAACAAGUUGGAGAGUAACUGCUCCAGCCUUGACGGUAUCUGACCAGAAAGCCACGGCUAACUACGUGCCAGCAGCCGC